rnacentral:rRNA from 1 species
UACGAGAGCCUCGAGCGUUAUCCGGAAUUAUUGGGCGUAAAGGGUGCGUAGGUUGUUCUGUUAGUCUUUUGUUAAAGCCCCGAGCUUAACUCGGGUCAUGCAUUUGAUACGGCAGAACUUGAAAGUGUGAGAGGUGUACGGAACUCAUGGUGUAGGGGUGAAAUCCGUUGAUAUCAUGGGGAACACCAAAAGCGAAGGCAGUACACUGGCACAUAUUUGACACUGAAGCACGAAAGCGUGGGUAGCGAAUGGG